AUUUUGUGUGCCAUCGUGAACUUAAUUUAGUAUUUAGUCGGUAAAGACAAUAGAUAAUAUAUGUAAGGUUCGGGAUUACCACCAAAAA
rnacentral:pre_miRNA from 1 species